CUUUGUCACUGGGAUCCCUAAAAAUCCACACAGGACACGAGUCUUCGAACCUGCUGACUGGUUGCAGGAUCCCUCUAGUCUUGGUAUAAUUCAAGAGAGCUAGGCCUGAGAUCCGCAAGUGCCUUUGUAAAGAAAUCCCACUGUAGGCAGAAGGAGAAGGACUGCAGCGCAAUAGGUAGAGAGGAAGAUAUCUGCUUGGAAGGAGAUCUGCAGCCUGGUCGGGUGGAAGAGCUCCA